rnacentral:lncRNA from 1 species
UUUACCUAUCCUUCAAGCAACAAAAUCAAUACAUUGUUGUAAGGCAGCAGUUACAUGCAAGACACUGUUUCAGCACACAAAUCAACUUUCAAAAGCAAUGUACCACCCAUUUCUUAAAAACUGGAGGCUUUAAAUGCCAUUCAUCACAAACUAAAUACACUAAUAUUCAUUUACACUAAAAGUCAUCCAUACCAUAAUUGCAUUUUCAUAAUAUUGGAAUGAUUCAAGCAUCCUGCUAAAAUUGGAUUAGCUAGAGCAGACGUGAAAUGCUGGAAAGGCUGUUAUGAAUCUUUUCCAAGGAUUCUGGUUCUGAAUUCCCUGGGGACA